AGACCAGGCUCCGCUUCACAGACACCAUCUCUGUUAACCCUCAGCUCACCUCUUCAGGAAUGCCUUCUUGUUCCCAUUUUAAAGUUGAAAGGACUGAGGCUCAGAGAGGUAGAGCAAGUCUCCAGAGGACACACACAGCCCGAGUACCUACUCUAUGCUCCGAGGACCUCUCGGGUAAUCUUUUUACAGAUGAGGAAGCCAUGACUCAGAGAGGGACAGCGCUUUCUCCAAGGACACACAGCAGAAAAGUCUUUCUCUAGAAGUCUUCUUACCCCACCGGCUUUUCCUGUCGCCAUCUUCAUUAUAACAUUGGAAACACAUCAGGAGAGAGAGAUGACAUUCAGCAGCAUGUCUGGGUUCCCUCCGGCCCAAGUCCUGCACCCAGUCCAUCCCGUGCAUAACGUCCUUCAACAACCCUAGGAGAUGGGUACCAUAUCUCAUCAUUUUACAGGCAAGGACAGGACAGGGGGACUCGGAGGAGGAAGCCACCUGCCAAGGUCACACAUGAAGCUGGGGCUUGGGCUGGGGUCUCAGUGUAGAUCUGGCUUCAUGUUGUAGUAAACACACACACACUCACGCUUUAAAAAGGAGAUUUAACGUACAAACUGUCAAGUAUACAGAGUGUAAGAGAGCAGUGCAAUGCAUUUUUACAUGUAUACACCACCCAUUACGAAAUAGCACAUUUUCAGCACCCGGAAAGUUUCCCUUGUGCCAGCCUCCCAGUUGACACCCAGAGUUCCUGGUCUUAACACAAAACUUCAGCUCUAGCCGUAUCUGGGCUGAAAUCCCUAUUGUGUGACAUUGAUCAAGUUGAUUUGCCUCUCCAUGCCUCAGUUUCCUGAUCUGUAAAACAGAGCUACAAUCCUCUCCCUCAUAGGACAGCUGCAGAAAAACCUUGUCUUAGGUUACGCAGCAGGCACAGCCAAGAAAGGUGGGCCUUGUGGUUAAUGUUAUGAAUAUGCCAGAGCCUGGGCCCCCCCUGCUCCCAGCAGUCAUGGAGGCUGCUGUCACCCAUCAGGCUCCCAGCCCCUCUCUGAGUCCCAAGGCCCCAGCCUGGGAAGGCCCCAGGAGCCAGGCCUGCUUUUCUGGGGAAGUGAGGCACAGUGGCCCCUGACCCCAGCCAUUUUCCCGACCCCCAGACCACAGCCUGCAAAAGGCUAACCUACCCCCCGAAUACUGCCCAUGACCCCCGCCUGGGCUGGCGAGGCUGCGCCCGCCCGCACCUAUUCAUGUAUUUUGUAUUAUAAAAUGACUGCUGUCUCCAUGGCAACAUAAAAGGAGCCGAUCUCAUUACUGGGGCCCGGACACAUUAUUUUCUCCAAGGAAUUUCUUCUUUUCAUUAUUUCCCUCCAAAGGUCAGUUAUCCUCUCAGGCGGGGCGGUGGGCGGCAGCGGGGGGGUCUUCGAAAGGUGAGCCGGAUUCAUGGCAGAAUUCCCCUGGCGGAAUUUACAAUCAUUUUGCCUUUUUCCCCUGCUCUAACACCGUUGGAGAGAUUUUCUUGCAGCCAGGUGGUUCUCUUUAACCCCUGCAGCCCCGGCAGGCAGCAGACAGGCUGUUCCUGUUGCACUGUCCUGGGAAUCCCACCCAUCUCUGUGCCUCCUUCCUCCUCCUCACAGUCACCUGCAGCUGCCCGACUUCAGGUUCUGAGAGCAGGAGAGGUCUGGAGUUUUUCUGAUUAACCACAGAGGAUUGAAGGGCUCAAAGGCAAUUUGCUUUUACUCUAAGUCCUCCCACUGAGAAAAGCACCCCUUUAGAAGUUAAUACUAGUGAUAAUAAUAAUUUAUAUGGAUAUCUGGAAUGCCGUGUAGUGUAGUAAUUCAGAAUUUUGGUUCUAGGGUCAGAGGGACCGGGGUUCAAAUCCUGCCUCUGCCAAUUUCAGGCUGUGUGACCUUGGGCAGGUUGCCGCAUCUCUCUGAGCCUCGGUUUCCUUAUCUGUAAAACAAGCCUCAUACUGGCAUCUGCCUUGCAGGAUGGAGUAAGGACGGAAUGAGAUAUGUAUGUAAAUUACUGAGCACAGUACCUGGCACACAAGAAACAAUCAAUAUUGGUGAUGAUUUAUCUUUGGGUAUAUAUCUGUCAGUUACUGUGUAUGUCAGUUAUCUGUUGAUGUGAAACCAAUCACUCCUAAGACUUAGUAGCUUAAAACAACAAUAAGCAUUUAUUAUCAUUCAUAGUUUCUGUGUAUUGGGCAUUUGGUAGCAGCUUCAUUGGAUGGAUUUGGCUUAGAAUUUCUCUUGCUGUUGCAGUCGUGUGUCUGGGGCUACAGUUAUCUGAAGUCCUGACCAGGGCUGAAAGCUCUAAUUCCACGGUGGCUCACUCAUGGCUGGCUUUUGAUCAGGGGCCUCAGUUCUUCUGGAUCUUCACAUGGUCUGUCCUCAGGGCUGCUUGAGCAUCCUCACAAAAUGGCAGCUGGCUUCCCCCAGAAUGCGUGAUCCAAGAGAGCAAGAUGGAAACUGUGAUGACUUUUAUGAUCUUCUUUAAUCUUCCCAAGGGAGAUUCAAGGCUGAUUUCCAUUUUACAGAGGCGGUUGGGGCCCAGAGAAGGAAAGCAAUUUGCCCAAGCAUUGAAUUCCAGAUCUGAGUUCUUUCUCCUGCCCCUGCUUCUCAUGGACCCAGUAACUAUGGUGGUUGGAUUCUACUGCUCCAAAGGGAGGGAGACUUGCUGGGAAGAGAAACUCUGGGCAGCCCGAGUCUGUAUUGCAGCUGGUUGGGGCAGAGCAAUGCACAGACACUCAACAAGUGAAGCCAGUCAAAACACUCCCCCCAAGGAAGCCAGUAGAAGAAGCGUGUUUGUAAAACUGACGGCAUUUU